GACGAACGCUGGCGGCGUGCUUAACACAUGCAAGUCGAACGGAAAGGCCCUGCUUUUGUGGGGUGCUCGAGUGGCGAACGGGUGAGUAACACGUGAGUAACCUGCCCUUGACUUUGGGAUAACUUCAGGAAACUGGGGCUAAUACCGGAUAGGAGCUCCUGCUGCAUGGUGGGGGUUGGAAAGUUUCGGCGGUUGGGGAUGGACUCGCGGCUUAUCAGCUUGUUGGUGGGGUAGUGGCUUACCAAGGCUUUGACGGGUAGCCGGCCUGAGAGGGUGACCGGAAAAAUGGGGAUACAGGACGGACCAGCACGCAGGGGGGGGCAAGGGGGGGGAGUAUGGGAAAAUGGGGCGGAGGCUGUGACGAGAAUGGCCGGGUGGGGAAGGAGGGCUUGGGGUUAGGAACCGGUGUGCGCGGGGAAAGAGGGGGGAGUGAGGGAAGGGGAUAAGAAAAAGCCGGCAAACUAGGGG
rnacentral:rRNA from 1 species